rnacentral:piRNA from 1 species
UGGCAUUACUUACAGUUACUUGCUAGG